CCUUACCUGGCCUUGACAUCCAGAGAACUUUCCAGAGAUGGAUUGGUGCCUUCGGGAACUCUGAGACAGGUGCUGCAUGGCCGUCGUCAGCUCGUGUCGUGAGAUGUUGGGUUAAGUCCCGUAACGAGCGCAACCCCUAUCCCUGGUUGCUAGCAGGUAAUGCUGAGAACUCCAGGGAGACUGCCGGUGACAAACCGGAGGAAGGUGGGGAUGACGUCAGGUCAUCAUGCCCCUUACGGCCAGGGCUACACACGUGCUACAAUGGCGCGUACAGAGGGCUGCCAACUCGCGAGAGUGAGCCAAUCCCUUAAAACGCGUCGUAGUCCGGAUCGGAGUCUGCAACUCGACUCCGUGAAGUCGGAAUCGCUAGUAAUCGCGAAUCAGAAUGUCGCGGUGAAUACGUUCCC
rnacentral:rRNA from 1 species